AGAGCGAACGCUGGCGGUAGGCCUAACACAUGCAAGUCGAACGGCAGCACAGUGGUAGCAAUACCAUGGGUGGCGAGUGGCGGACGGGUGAGGAAUACAUCGGAAUCUACCUUUUUCGUGGGGGAUAACGUAGGGAAACUUACGCUAAUACCGCAUACGUCCUUCGGGGGAAAGCCGGGGAUCGCAAGACCUGGCGCGGAUAGAUGAGCCGAUGUCGGAUUAGCUAGUUGGUGAGGUAAGUGGCGUCACCAAGGCGACGAUCCGUAGCUGGUCGUGAGAGGAGUGAGUCA
rnacentral:rRNA from 1 species